CAGUAGAAGAUGGAGAGGAAAGAAGCCUCAUGUCACGUUGCAUCGAUUCCCACGUGUAAGAAGAAAAUUAGGCGCUGAAAAGCGACAGCAGUCUGUGAGGGAACGCAUUUGCCAAUAAAAAGUAAAUGUCUACCUUCAGCUUUCCAUUAUCUACACGAGAGAUCCGUCUUACACUAGGCAGGUAUACAUUGACAGUUACCCA